rnacentral:rRNA from 1 species
AGCGAAAGCGAGUCUUAAUAGGGCGUUUAGUCGCUGGGUAUAGACCCGAAACCGGGCGAUCUAUCCAUGGGCAGGUUGAAGGUUAGGUAACACUGACUGGAGGACCGAACCGACUACCGUUGAAAAGUUAGCGGAUGACCUGUGGAUCGGAGUGAAAGGCUAAUCAAGCUCGGAGAUAGCUGGUUCUCCUCGAAAGCUAUUUAGGUAGCGCCUCAUGUAUCACUGUAGGGGGUAGAGCACUGUUUCGGCUAGGGGGUCAUCCCGACUUACCAAACCGAUGCAAACUCCGAAUACCUACAAGUGCCGAGCAUGGGAGACACACGGCGGGUGCUAACGUCCGUCGUGAAAAGGGAAACAACCCAGACCGUCAGCUAAGGUCCCAAAGUCAUGGUUAAGUGGGAAACGAUGUGGGAAGGCUUAGACAGCUAGGAGGUUGGCUUAGAAGCAGCCACCCUUUAAAGAAAGCGUAAUAGCUCACUAGUCGAGUCGGCCUGCGCGGAAGAUGUAACGGGGCUCAAACCAUGCACCGAAGCUACGGGUGUCAUCUUUGAUGACGCGGUAGAGGAGCGUUCUGUAAGCCUGUGAAGGUGAGUUGAGAAGCUUGCUGGAGGUAUCAGAAGUGCGAAUGCUGACAUGAGUAACGACAAUGCGAGUGAAAAACUCGCACGCCGAAAGACCAAGGUUUCCUGCGCAACGUUAAUCGACGCAGGGUUAGUCGGUCCCUAAGGCGAGGCUGAAAAGCGUAGUCGAUGGAAAACAGGUUAAUAUUCCUGUACUUCCAGUUAUUGCGAUGGAGGGACGGAGAAGGUUAGGCCAGCUUGGCGUUGGUUGUCCAAGUUUAAGGUGGUAGGCUGAGAUCUUAGGCAAAUCCGGGAUCUCAAGGCCGAGAGCUGAUGACGAGUGCUCAUUAGAGCGCGAAGUGGUUGAUGCCAUGCUUCCAAGAAAAGCUCCUAAGCUUCAGAUAACUGGGAACCGUACCCCAAACCGACACAGGUGGUUAGGUAGAGAAUACCAAGGCGCUUGAGAGAACUCGGGUGAAGGAACUAGGCAAAAUGGCACCGUAACUUCGGGAGAAGGUGCGCCGGUGAGGGUGAAGCACUUGCUGCGUAAGCCCACGCCGGUCGAAGAU